GGUCCCGAUAAGGUUAAAUGUUUUUUUUUUUGUUCAUUCUUUUAUAUCUUUAAAUAUUUUUAAAAACAUCAUAACAUUAAAAGAUAUCUUCUUAAUCAUUAAAUUAAAAAAAAAUUGUUGAACCCAUCAUCGAGACCCAAGUCUUAACCACUUUAGUUUUUUCCUUAACAAAUCCACAAGAGAGGAAUCUAUAGACAAAAAUUUACAUAGAAUUUUCAGAUGGAAAAUGAUUCUUCCACAUACAAAAUGUACUGAUAAAGUGUACAGAAUCCAGAUUAGUGUUUUAAAAAAAAAAAAUUGUAUGUUUAUUAUUUAAUAUGUUUUU